GGAUGUCUAUUUUUAUAUAUUACAUCAUCUCUGCUGCAGAACUCCCGUGUCCACUGGGAUUUACUGUUCUUUCAUUCCAUUUUGAAAGAAAGCUUGUGUUGAUGUCAUAAUUGGACCCAUCUUUUGGUUGCACUUGGAAAUUGAAAGUAAUAAGGGUGUUGUGCAGCAAAUCAUGCAAUAUUUCAAGCAAUUUAUUUGUCAGAUCAUUGCUACUUUGUCCUGCCUCUAAUUGUGAACACUGGUGGCUUUCUGUACUUGUAUAUGUUUUAAAUAUACUUGGCUAAAAUUUAGCUUUUAGUCUCAACUGCAAAGAUCCUGUUCAUCUUAGACUGUUUCAUUUCUUAUGUGCUUUUUUUUUUUUCAUGAGAUUUUGUAGUGCUACAUGCUGAUUUGAAAAAUGUCUCUUUUCUUUGGAGAAAUCUACUUUGAUAUUCAGACCUAUUUCCUACCUGUGCUGAAUUGAUCUUUUUACAAUUAAGUUAUCAGUAAGUUGUCUGUUUCACUGUUUGAAAUAUCAGGUGACUAGAAAUGUUCUCUUUUGAUUUUGAAUCCAGUGUUAAAGCAUUAUUAACUUGAAAUGCCUUUCUAUUGGCCAGAAGAUAUUGUUGACCUCUGGAAGAGGUUUGUAUUCAGUGUAUAGAUGUAAGGUUUAAGUCCCUUGUGAAAGGAAAUAUUUAAACUAAUUAUAUUAAAUGAUUUAAAAUGCCUACUAUGUUAUACAUAUUUAUGUAUGUAAAAUCUCCCCCUAUUCUCUCAAAAAUUUAGUAAUCCAAAUCUCAAUAGUAAACCAUUUUUCCCUUUGCUAAAAAAAAAAAAAAAAAUUGAUUAGGAGCAAACUUACACUUUUAAAAAAUAACAGCUUUAUUGAGUUAUAAUUCAUACACCAUACAUUUUACCUGUUUAAAGUACAUAAUUCAAUGUUUUUUUCUUUUUUUAAGUAAAAACACAUAACAUUA